AACCUGGUUGAUCCUGCCAGUAGUCAUAUGCUUGUCUCAAAGACUAAGCCAUGCAUGUCUAAGUAUAAGUAUUAUACAGCGAAACUGCGAAUGGCUCAUUAAAACAGUUAUAGUUUAUUUGAUAAUCGAAUUUACAUGGAUAACCGUGGUAAUUCUAGAGCUAAUACAUGCACAUGAACCUGACCUCAAAGUAUGGUUGUGUUUAUUGAUUUCAAAACCAACUCAAGCUCUGCUUGAUAUGCUGCAUGAUUGAUUAUAAACGAAUGAAUUGCAUGGCACACGCUGGCAAUGUAUUGUUUUAGUUUCUGACCUAUCAGCUUCCGACGGUAAGGUAUUGGCUUACCGUGGCAAUGACGGGUGACGGAGAAUUAGGGUUUGAUUCCGGAGAGGGAGCCUGAGAAAUGGCUACCACAUCUAAGGAAGGCAGCAGGCGCGCAAAUUACCCAAUCUUGGCAUAGGGAGGUAGUGACAAGAAAUAACAAUACAGGGCAUCCAUGUUUUGUAAUUGGAAUGGACAGAUGUUAACCUUCUCUGUGAGUAUCAAUUGGAGGGCAAGUCUGGUGCCAGCAGCCGCGGUAAUUCCAGCUCCAAUAGC
rnacentral:rRNA from 1 species